UACGAAGGGGGCUAGCGUUGCUCGGAAUCACUGGGCGUAAAGGGUGCGUAGGCGGGUUUUAAGUCAGGGGUGAAAUCCUGGAGCUCAACUCCAGAACUGCCUUUGAUACUGAAGAUCUUGAGUCCGGGAGAGGUGAGUGGAACUGCGAGUGUAGAGGUGAAAUUCGUAGAUAUUCGCAAGAACACUAGUGGCGAAGGCGGCUCACUGGCCCGGUACUGACGCUGGAGGCACGAAAGCGUGGGGAGCAAACAGG
rnacentral:rRNA from 1 species